rnacentral:rRNA from 1 species
CAGCCGCCGCGGUAAAACGGAGGGGGCUAGCGUUGUUCGGAAUUACUGGGCGUAAAGCGUACGUAGGCGGCUUUGUAAGUUAGAGGUGAAAGCCUGGUGCUCAACACCAGAACUGCCUUUAAGACUGCAUCGCUUGAACGUCGGAGAGGUGAGUGGAAUUCCGAGUGUAGAGGUGAAAUUCGUAGAUAUUCGGAAGAACACCAGUGGCGAAGGCGGCUCACUGGACGACUGUUGACGCUGAGGUACGAAAGCGUGGGGAGCAAACAGGAUUAGAUACCCCCGUAGUCCCUGUCUCUUAUAC